CUAACAGAAAUUAAUCUAAGUAUCACCUGCUCAUGAUAUAAUAAAUAGCCGCAGAUUCUGUGCUAAGGUAGCAUAAUAAUUUGCCUUUUAAUUAAAGGCUAGAAUGAAAGGUAUUACAUAUUGAAAACUUUAUUAAUUUUUUUCAUUUAAACUAACUUUUUAGUAAAAAGGCUAAAAUUCUUAAGAAGACGACAAGACCCUGUCAAACUUCACAUUUUUGUUUUACUGGGGGGGUAUAGAAACUUUAUCUUUUUUGAUAUAAUUACUAAAAAUAUUUAAACUAGUUACUGCAGGGAUAACAGCAUAAUUUUUUCCUAAAGAUCUUAUAUAAGAAAAAGUUUGUGACCUCGAUGUUGAAUUAGAAAUCUAUAAAGAGCAAAAUCUUUACAAGUAAGUCUGUUCGACUUUUAAUAUUCUACAUGAUUUGAGUUCAGACCGGCGUAAGCCAGGUCGGUUUCUAUCUCUUUUUUAAAUUUUUAGUACGAAAGGACCAAAAUCUUAAUUUUAUAUUAA
rnacentral:rRNA from 1 species